UAAACUCACUUUGAAUCAAGAGGAGAUUUAUUACAAGGAGAUAUGGAAUCCGAAGAAAGAGAACAUACCAAACCUCACGAAGGGAUGCUCCAAGAGAUCAUGGAACUUAUCUCUUUAUCUCUGUGGCCAUGACUACCAAUUCAGCACUUGGCAUAUGGAAGAUCAACAAAUGCAGGAGAGUAUGGCUGUUACCAUCCUGGAGUUUGGAUAUUACAACCCAGUUACACUUCUUAACGCUGUGUGAUUGCAACUGGCUCAAAGUGGUUGCCCAGCCAUAAGAGUUGGCUUAGCCCUCAAGGCCAGGAGUGAGAUUAUGCGGAAAAAUGACUGCUGGGGGCAUACCGGGAGAGAGCAGCUCUGAGGAUGAUGUUUACUGCAGACUUGGCAAAAGACUCAAGAAGUGUUUAUUCCAAGCUAAGAAUGGAUCCUGCACCUCCAGGGCCUUUAGAUAUGUAUAUAAAUAUAUAGAAAUGUAUAUCGUUUCUCAGCGUUCUACAUUUGAGCCAUCUCAUUCUACUCAUUCUCCUCACAAAUGUGCUACUCACACCCGUGUUUUCAAAUAACCUCUUAGAAGUUGAUGAUUCUCAAAUCUCUAUUUUCAGCAUAGAGCUCUCUCCUGAGCUCCAGAUUCAUAUAGCUUCUUACUUAAUUUUCCAUGCAUGUCUCUUAGACACUCCACUUUUGAUAAGCUCAAAAAGGAACUCAUCUUCCCGCUAAAAUUUGCAUCUCCUCCAGUAUUGUUUAGUGUGUAAAAAUGCAUACAUUUUUUGAAGACAUGGUAAAGGCUGUGGGGAAUGUUGGCAAGUCACUCUCCUUAGAGGCAAAAAUAUAAGCAUACAAAAAGGAUGUCUUGGAAUUUGGAGCAGAAAAUUAAAAUAGGAAAACUGCUAACAAUAUCAAACAUUAAUAAAAUGUGUGCCCACAUAUAGUCCGAAAAUAAUAUGUGAUUUUGGAAUUCAAAUCAAUUUAUUUGGCCAUUGGAAUAAGUCUUAGAACUAGGGUGACUAUACAUCCCAGUUUCCCGGAUACAGUUCCAAUUUAUUCCUGUUGGUCUAGCAUCUUAUCUAAUUUUUUAUUUGUUUCCAGUGUUUUAUUUUUGAUGAAGUAUUAUCAAUGGUUAAAUUAAAAUAGUCUUUGAUGAGCUUA